ACACCAAAACCAAAUUCAGCGUUAAAACUCCACAAGUUGACCAAAUGUAGCUUAACAUUUCCAUGCACUGCAGUCCAAGGCCACCAAUAAUCAAUGUAAAAACUUCGGAGACGAGAUGCGCGCUUUUGAAGUUUCAGUGACGAUGUGUCAGAGGUCCCAGACCGUUAUUCCGCAUAGGAUUUUAUUUUAAAAAUUCUCGUCGUAGAAAGAUUUGUCUCGUUUGAACGCGUCCAAUUUAAACUGUGUGUGAAUAAUGCAAGCAUUUUUUAAAGCCAUUUCAAAUUCUGUUUUUCUGCUGUUGUCUCUACCAAUGUUGCGGAGCAAGAAAAUGCUGAAAAGUCGAUGGAUGUUAUGGCCGAAAGCAGCUGUUAUCUACAGGUUCGACGCUACAGUUGGAUGCCCUGAGUCCUAUAAGUGUUCCAUUAUAAUGAAAGCCAUGGACCACAUCAUGGAGAAAACUUGCGUCCGAUUUAAAGAAUGGAGCGGAGAAAGAGACUUCGUGCGUAUCGAGGAAACUACGGCUGCGAGGUUAGUUAUGUUUUUUGGUCAUUCGGCGUCAUUUUUAACGCGUACUGCGACCGCGAAGCAACGCACACGAUGCGCUUUUUGUUAUGCUGUUGAACGUGUGUAACAGCGGCAUCCGCCGGUUUCCCACGUGAUAACAUUCAAACGCAUUUUCUCAAAAAAUCCUGUGAAUUUGGAGGGAUCCAUCUCUCAUCAGGACAAUUUCCAAUUGAAGUAGCAUACAGGAAGGGGUGGGGCAGAAGUAACUAUGAGAAGAUCAAGCACAAAAACAUAUCGACGAUGUAAGUCGGCAAUCACAUAACUCGUUUGCGGUGUCUAAAAAUCUCCGCCUCUAUGUUAUUUUUUAAAGGAGAACAAAUUGACAUCAUUCCGUGAAGUUUUUGCAGAAUUUUCUUCACACAGAGAAGAAAAAUCACCGCACUUUUAAAGAAUUGCCGUUAAGUAGUUUUCCGUUUAAAAAAUAAAGUAUAACAGGAAGUCUGCGACGUCGAAAACCGAGUUAUGUGAUUGCCGACUUACACCGUCGAUAUAUGCUUUUGUGUCCAUAUAGCGCGAAUAUACGAAUAAAUAAGCAGGGUAUUAAAACCUGGAUAAACAAGGCUGAAACAUUAAAAACAACAAGAGGCAGGACGUACCUGAGAAGUAACCAUCAAUUUGUUGGGUGCAAAAAGGGUAUUUCUUGGUUGCGGUGUCUCAAAAUCGUCACUGCUAACUUAUGAUUUAUAGAGGAAAUUGUGCAAUGAAUUUGGUUUCUGAAGUUUUUCGUUUUCAGCAUUGUAAAAUCAUGAAAAAAGUUCUAUAAAUGUUUCAACGAAUUUCAUGAAAUUUGCUUCAAUUAUAAUGGAUGAACCGUCAGCGGAGAUUCUGAGACACCGCAACCAAGAAAUGCCUUUUUUGCAUCCGGCGCCUCACUUUGUCUGUGUGUCUGCUCUAAACUGCAGUUUUCAACGCACCCAUUUUCGACUCGGCCAAUGUGCUAAUUGCUGUGAUUUCUUAAUCACUUUCCUUCAGAAACAACUCUUACAUUUGCUCUAGCUGAUGUGUUUUUUUUGCAGCGGUACCAGCGGACUUCCUAUAUCCGACUCAAAUCUUGGAAAGAUUGGUGGCGAGCAAAAAAUUCGCAUCUACCCGAUGGCUUGGUAUAACGGUGGCCGAGGAACGGUCUUGCACGAGGGUGGAUUUCUGUAGAUUUUCAUUUUGCUGUCGCCGGAUGAUUUCGCGCCGGUAAUCUACGGAAUAUGUCUAACUUAUUUUUUUUACACUUUGGUAGGUCUUGGCAAUCUUAAAAAAUUGUUAAAUCUACUUUAAAUGCCGAAGCAUACUUUCGGGAAUUUUUUUCAUAGUGCAAAUGUCAACUCCGGCUAAUGUCGCCAGGCUAAAUUCGAACACAAGAACUGUUCUGCUGACUUUUUGGCGGAGUCCUGCACAAUUUUGAUGCUUUAUUUAAAUUGUUGAAUAGAUUGGGUCUACUGAAAAAUUGUUAGAAAACUAUUUAAAAGUCAGGGGAACGUGCACCAUACAUAGAAAGUUGUGUCGCUAGCUUUGGUGUCAACUCCGGCGGAGCUAUUUUCGCGCAUUCCGGAGCGAACAGCUGAUAGUGCGCGCGCAGGGUAAGCAUUGUGAUUGUGUUUUUUAAAGAGUUGGAGGUCCCGGGCUAUCUGAAACACUGCUUUGAUAAACAUAAGUAAACUUUUUCUGCAUCAAAAAUUUGGAUUUCUAAAAAUGGUAAUUUGAAACUGUCAACUCCAUUUACGUUAAAAUUUCAUACUGGGGAAGUGGCGCCAGUGAUAUAAUUCAGUAUAUCAUGUACCUGCACGACCGAACCUCAAAAAAAUCGGUUUUGUUUGUAUUCUGCAUCGUGGACACUUUCUUUCCCGCGAAAAACACUCAAAUGUCAACUCCGGCCGCAUCAACUCCGACCUUGUCAACUCCGGCCCAAUGACGUUUAACGUUGUUAAGCUGAACUUUAUUCGACAUUAGUGUAAUAUUUUUGUUCAAUUGUUUGUUCCAGUUCAUUAGAUUUCAGUCUUUAGUUAAAUAUUCGUUGUUUUUUCAAAUAACUUUGUUUUGUAAUUUCACCUAUGUCAACUCCGGCCCAAUGAUGUUUAACAUUGUAAAACAUAGCUCUUAUUUGACAUUCGUGUAAUAUUUUUGUUCAAUUGUUUGUCCCAGUUCAUUAGAUUUCAGUCUUUAGUAAAAUAUUCGUCAUUUUUUCAAAUAACUUUAUUUUGUAAUUUCAUCUAUGUCAACUCCGACCUUGUCGAUUCCGGCCCAAUGGCGUUUAACGUUGUAAAGCUGAGCUUUAUUUGACAUUCGUGUAAUAUUUUUGUUCAAUUGUUGUUCCAGUUCAUUAGAUUUCAGUCUUUACUUAAACAUUCGUUAUUUAUUCAAAUAAUUUUGUUUUGUAAUUUCAUCUAUCUCAACUCCGACCUUGUCGACUCCGGCCCAAUGACGUUUAACGUUGUAAAACUGAGCUUAAUUGACAUUCAUGUAAUAUUUUUGUUCAAUUGUUUGUUCCAGUUCAUUAGAUUUCAGUCUUUAGUUAAAUAUUCGUUAUUUUUUCAAAUAACUUCGUUUUGUAAUUUCAUCUAUGUCAACUCCGUACUAACCUGUCAACUCCGGCCAUCGGUGAAAAAACGACUGUAAAGACUAUUUUUUUAAAAAUCAAAUCGGUUUUAUGAGAAGAUUAUUUUUAAGUUAAGGGUUAGUUUUAUUUGGGGUUAGGUUUUUAAAUAGCUUUUCAGAUCUCAUUUG
rnacentral:lncRNA from 1 species